UUGCAAAGAGUGGCGAACGGGUGAGUAACACGUGGGAAACCUACCUCUUAGCAGGGGAUAACAUUUGGAAACAGAUGCUAAUACCGUAUAACAAUAGCAACCGCAUGGUUGCUACUUAAAAGAUGGUUCUGCUAUCACUAAGAGAUGGUCCCGCGGUGCAUUAGUUAGUUGGUGAGGUAAUGGCUCACCAAGACGAUGAUGCAUAGCCCGAGUUGAGAGACUGAUCCGGCCAACAAGUGGGACUGAGACACCGGCCCAUACUCC
rnacentral:rRNA from 1 species